rnacentral:lncRNA from 7 species
AAGAGUCGGCAGUGGAGGUGAGGGUGUCUCCUGGUGGAGAUCCCUGCCUACCUGAGGCCUUCCAAAGGUUUUCCUGAAGCAGAUUGAUGAAGAGUGGCUAUAGAUCCCAUAAGUCUCACCCUACAGCAACUGUCGUAUGGUUUCCAGUUUGUACCAAAAUUACUCCGGUAUCAAACAGGCUAAGGAACUCUGAGAUCAGAAUUUGCUGUCUAUUAUUAAUAAUGAAAGGAUUCAGAAUGGAUUUGAAAUGGAACGUGAAGCAGGACAAACUUUGCCUCUUGGGAUGUGAUCUCUGAGUAAAGAAUUUACUCCAGCAUAAUAUCCAAAUAAAGGCCUCAGCUGAAAUCUACUGAAGUCAAUGGAACAAUGCUCUGAGGAGCAAGCUGCAGACCUGGAACUAGACUGCUACAUACAUCUCUAUCUCCCCUACAGUUGUACUCUUCCCAGAGCACUGCUGCCAAGCAAGAAGGUUGUAGAGGCUGGGCAAAUGGCUAAGCACAAAGAGGUCCUGGGGCUUUGGGGCUGGACCGGGGACAUGGAAGAAGCACAUGAACUAGACAGCCAAAUACCUCACUUAUUCUGAGGGAUACUAAAAAUAGGCAGCAGUGAGAUUCAUUGACAUAGCCAAUUGUACAACUACCAGUAGCACAUGCAACUAGUCAGAGCUUGUUGCAGUACAGACGUUAGGUGGGCUGCAUGCGGUUGUAGCUUGAGUGGGCAGAAAGUGAGGACUUGAGAUAAUACGAACAUCACUUGCAUCCUAGGACAGAGCUCCCUCUUGGAGCUGGGAUCUUGUGGAGGGCAAUGAUCAGUUCUCCUUCACUGUUACUGGCCAAGGCUCUGGGGAAGGAAUUGGGACACUUCGGAAGGAUAUCAAAAUACUUCUCCAAAUUCUCUGACUGCCACCUGCUAUGCCAUCUGCCACUGCUCCCAGUGCCACCUGGGUGAAUCACCGCUUGGAUGGAGCAGCAGGAACAGCAACCAUAGGAAGGGCAAAACUGACAUCCCAGCAGCCCAAAGCCACAGCAGCCUCUAGGAAACACAGGCAGAUCUGUUCACACUCCAACCAGGAGUACUGCAGCCAACAUUCUGCAGUCACCAAAGAUGAGUGAGAAACAUUUGACACAUAUUAUACGUGUGCAUAAUUUUACAUUGUAUAUGCCAGGUGAAGUGGUAUUAGUUCACAUAUUUACUUCAGUUCUCUAGCUACUGGAAAAUUGAAUGUCAUGUAACUGCUAUACUUCACAUAACAGCCUGGAUUUUGAGAAUUUAACAAGAAAUAAUGCAGAUUAAAAUUCUGCAUUAAAAAAAAACCUAGUUGGUUUUUCUGGAUUUUGUGUUCACUUGCACCAAAGACUUCACUAAUUCCAAUGCUAUGUCUAUGACAGAAAUAUGUAAUAAUAAUCACCUGUAUUUCCAAAUAAGCUUAGAUUACAUUUCAAAAUUACGGUGACGAAGAUACUGUUCAGUACUAUCUGGCAUUUAUAGACUUAACUUACUUCAUCUCACAGGGAAAUUCCUAUGCCU